AUAAGUUGAUAUAAUGAUACCGAUGAUACCCUGGAUAUAAUGUGCACUGCCCCAUGCGGAGCUUUUCUGUGUCACUCAUUUCAAUUUUGGAUAUUCAGUAAUUUUAAAAUAUGAAUCAUACCAUUUUCUGUCCGACGACCAUCGAGACCAAGUGUGAGGCACAGCCACAGACCAAGACGAUGGAGUUCGUGGAGGAGGACGGAAGUCCUAUCGACGUCCAGGAAGUGAUCGAGUUUGCCGGUGCGGACCAGGGAUCUGCAGCUUCAGAGAUGAAAAGAGAAGUCAAGCGUGGUGGCAAAAGGCCAGGCCGACACGUGUCACAUUUCCUAAGAAAUCAGCAUCAUCGUCGCUCAAAGUAUUUAAAAACAACGCGAACCCUGAUAGCAAAGGCAAAGGAUCUGGAGAUCAGCACCGGUGCAAGUGUAAUGCUGCACAUCAACCACCCGGGCUACAAGGACGUAGGAUAUACCAGCGUUCCAGCAACGGUGGACUCGCCCGCUCAAGUCGAGGGGACGGCGCACACGCCAGCUUCGCCAGUUGACCUGCCUAA